CCUACGUGGGGCAGCAGUAGGGAAUAUUGGACAAUGGGUGCGAGCCUGAUCCAGCCAUGCCGCGUGCAGGAAGACGGCCUUCUGGGUUGUAAACUGCUUUUGCCAGGGGAUAAAAAGUCCCUGCGGGGAAAAUUGAAGGUACCUGGUGAAUAAGCCACGGCUAACUACGUGCCAGCAGCCGCGGUAAUACGUAGGUGGCAAGCGUUGUCCGGAUUUAUUGGGUUUAAAGGGUGCGUAGGCGGUCCAUUAAGUCAGUGGUGAAAUACGGCAGCUCAACUGUCGAGGUGCCAUUGAUACUGGAGGACUUGAGUACAGUUGAGGUGGGCGGAAUACAUCAUGUAGAGGUGAAAUUCUUAGAUAUGAUGUAGAACACCGAUUGCGAAGGCAGCUCACUAAAGUGUAACUGACGCUGAGGCACGAAAGCGUGGGGAUCAAACAGGAUUAGAUACCCCAGUANUC
rnacentral:rRNA from 1 species